UAUAUAUUAUUGUGCUCAUUUGGGCACUUAAGAGAUAGUAGCUGCUGCUACAAAUCCUGACCAUUACUCAAUACUUAGAUGUGCCACUUAAUCCUAUUACUGAAGAGAAAACUGAAGACAAAAGAGGUGAAAUGGUUUGCCCAAAUUAUACAGCUAGCUGGUGAGUGGCUUAGCUAUUGACUCAGACUCUUUCUGCUGUGUCACUUAGGCUACCAUUAAUAAGUGAUAAUGUGGGAAAAUAACAGCAGAAGGACUCUCCACCAACUACUUCUGAACUGACUUGUAGCUCUAACCUGAUGCACACUCUUCUGUAAAGUGUACUUACUGAUACCACAGGCCAACUGAACACUCAUGGCAGGGCAUAUACUUCUCUUGUCUUGGUUGGAUGCACAAAUCUGUGUGCAGUGCUUUUUGCCCGUUGCCUAGACGAUCACUUGGUUUCUCUGAGGAUGUCUGGUUCUCGUAAAGAGUUUGAUGUGAAACAGAUUUUGAAAAUCAGAUGGAGGUGGUUUGGCCAUCAAGCAUCAUCUCCUAAUUCUACAGUUGACAGCCAGCAGGGAGAAUUUUGGAACCGAGGACAGACUGGCGCAAACGGUGGGAGAAAGUUUUUAGAUCCAUGUAGCCUACAAUUGCCUUUGGCUUCAAUUGGUUACCGAAGGUCCAGCCAACUGGAUUUUCAGAAUUCACCUUCUUGGCCAAUGGCAUCCACCUCUGAAGUCCCUGCAUUUGAGUUUACAGCAGAAGAUUGUGGCGGUGCACAUUGGCUGGAUAGACCAGAAGUGGAUGAUGGCACUAGUGAAGAAGAAAAUGAAUCUGAUUCCAGUUCAUGCAGGACUUCCAAUAGUAGUCAGACAUUAUCAUCCUGUCAUACUAUGGAGCCAUGUUCAUCGGAUGAAUUUUUCCAAGCCCUUAAUCAUGCUGAACAAACAUUUAAAAAAAUGGAAAACUAUUUGAGACAUAAACAGUUGUGCGAUGUAAUUUUGGUCGCUGGUGAUCGCAGAAUUCCAGCUCACAGAUUGGUGCUCUCCUCUGUCUCAGACUAUUUUGCUGCCAUGUUUACUAAUGAUGUCAGAGAAGCAAGACAAGAAGAAAUAAAAAUGGAAGGUGUAGAACCAAAUUCAUUGUGGUCCUUGAUCCAGUAUGCUUAUACAGGCCGCCUUGAAUUAAAAGAAGAUAAUAUUGAGUGCCUGUUAUCUACAGCUUGCCUUCUUCAGCUUUCACAGGUUGUAGAAGCAUGCUGUAAGUUUUUAAUGAAACAGCUUCAUCCAUCCAACUGUCUUGGAAUUCGUUCUUUUGCUGAUGCCCAAGGUUGUACAGAUUUGCAUAAAGUGGCUCACAAUUAUACUAUGGAGCAUUUCAUGGAAGUAAUCAGAAACCAGGAAUUUGUAUUAUUACCAGCCAGCGAAAUUGCAAAGCUCUUGGCAAGUGAUGACAUGAACAUUCCUAAUGAGGAGACAAUAUUGAAUGCACUUCUUACUUGGGUCCGUCAUGAUUUGGAACAGAGACGGAAAGAUCUAAGUAAACUUUUGGCUUAUAUUAGGCUACCUCUUCUUGCACCACAGUUCCUGGCAGACAUGGAAAAUAAUGCACUUUUUCGGGAUGAUAUAGAAUGUCAGAAACUCAUUAUGGAAGCAAUGAAGUACCAUUUAUUACCAGAGAGACGACCCAUGUUACAGAGUCCUCGUACAAAACCUAGGAAGUCAACUGUUGGUACAUUAUUUGCAGUUGGGGGAAUCGAUUCAACGAAAGGAGCAACAAGCAUUGAAAAAUAUGAUCUCCGUACAAAUAUGUGGACUCCAGUAGCAAAUAUGAAUGGGAGGAGGCUACAGUUCGGUGUUGCAGUGCUAGAUGACAAACUGUAUGUGGUUGGAGGAAGAGAUGGACUGAAGACUUUGAAUACUGUAGAGUGCUACAACCCCAAAACAAAAACUUGGAGUGUGAUGCCACCUAUGUCCACACAUAGACAUGGCCUUGGUGUGGCUGUACUAGAAGGUCCCAUGUAUGCUGUAGGAGGACAUGAUGGCUGGAGCUAUCUGAACACGGUGGAAAGAUGGGACCCUCAGGCUCGCCAGUGGAAUUUUGUUGCCACUAUGUCUACCCCCAGGAGUACAGUAGGUGUGGCAGUACUAAGUGGAAAACUUUAUGCAGUUGGUGGUCGUGAUGGAAGCUCUUGUCUCAAAUCAGUAGAAUGUUUUGAUCCUCAUACUAAUAAGUGGACACUGUGUGCACAGAUGUCAAAAAGGAGAGGUGGCGUAGGAGUGACGACCUGGAACGGACUGCUGUAUGCUAUAGGGGGGCACGACGCUCCCGCAUCCAACUUGACUUCCAGACUCUCAGACUGUGUGGAGAGAUAUGAUCCCAAAACAGACAUGUGGACUGCAGUAGCAUCCAUGAGCAUCAGCAGAGAUGCAGUGGGGGUCUGUUUACUUGGCGAUAAGUUAUAUGCUGUUGGGGGGUAUGAUGGACAAGCAUACCUUAAUACCGUGGAGGCUUAUGAUCCCCAGACAAAUGAGUGGACCCAGGAACAGAAUCAGGAAUUUGUGCUUAUGACACCGAAUUCAGUACUUGGUACAUAAAAGACAAUAAAUGUUUACCUGAGCCAAGAUUGUAUUGUAUACAAGGAGCAAUGGUUGCUCCACUGUGCCUAGGAAGAGCUGGAGCUUGUGUUGUGACUGUAAAAUUAUAAUUUAGCGCUCUGUUUUCUACAUGAAGACACCGUCUUCCCUUAUUAAUUUAGUAUAAUUAUUCUAUCAAUGGAUACAUUUUUAGUAAACGUGCAUUGUCACAAUCCUGGGCACAAAGUGCCUGAUCUCAAAGUGAAGAUAGGAAAACAAAGGAGGAAGCAGUGGAUGGACCAGGAUUAAUUCCUUUCAUUUCUUAGUAAAUUAAAACAUGGAGCUGGUGGAUUGUGAACACACAUUCCUGAUGUAAUAUGUGAGGACAAAUGCACUGCCCUGGAACAUAACCCAGUGCUAACUGGGGGUUUCACUUAAUUCAGUCAAGCACAUCUUACUCACAUCCAGAUUUAUUUUCCUACAGUGCAGACACACCAGAUGAAACUUUAAAAUGCUACUUUUUGUAAGCUUAUCAUACAUGAGUUGCAGUAAUUUGUUUGCUUGUUUAACCACAACCACUAUUUUAAUGAUACACUAAAGAUAACACUAUUUAGUUUUUUCAGAAACAUCUGCAUUAUAUGUGUGUUGGUUGUGGAUUUUGUUUCUAAAAUUGGCUUAGUCCAAUAAAUAAAGAAAAGCAUUAAGGACUUAAAGCAACAAUAACCAAAUAAAAACUUGAUAGGAUCUUUGAAGUCUAUUUAAAUAUUCAUUCCAUUACAUCUAGACUCACCAAGAACUACAUGUUAUGAUGUUAAGUUGAAGUUGAAACAUGAUGUUUUGCAUUAAAUUUAAGAUAUGCAAAUUUAUGUAGAGAAAAUAAAUGUUAUAUACCCUAUAAUGUUCUUUCACCUAAUUAGUAUUUAAUUAUAUGGAUUUGUUUUAUAUUAUAAAAGAUGCUUUGAUUUUGUCUUUUGAGAUUGACAAAAUUUUUUGGAUAUCCUUAUGUUCUCAAGUCUGUAUCUGCCUCCCCUGCCUUAUUUCUUAUGUUUUGCCACAGUUAACCCAUUGUGCUUCUUUGUAAUCAAAGUUUGUGGGGGAAUGGGCUUAUUGAAUGUCUAAAAACUAAGUUUAAAGUGUUUGUUACCCUAAGUUUUUUACAUUUGUAAACUCUAAUUAUAUAUGUGAAUGUUAUUACUCUCAGUGAAUUGUUAUUGUUUGCAAAAAUGCACUGGGCAGUAGCAUUUUGUGAUAAAUCCUACAAGAUAUAAGUCA